GGCAAAGAGCUUGGCGUAGUGGUUUGAGCGUUGGAUUAUGACUCUAGAGACCAGGGUUCGAAUCCCUUCUUAGCCA